AUUGAACGCUGGCGGCAGGCCUAACACAUGCAAGUCGAACGAGUGGCGGACGGGUGAGUCAUGUCUAGGAAUCUGCCUGCUAGAGAGGGGUAACUACUGGAAACGGUAGCUAAUACCGCAUACCAUCGGAUGUUCCCAGAUGGGAUUAGCUAGUAGGUGGGGUAAAGGCUCACCUAGGAGACGAUCCCUAGCUGGUCUGAGAGGAUGCCCGGCAACACUGGAAGUGAGACACGGUCCAGACUCCUAGGGGGGCCAGCAGUGGGGAAUAUUGCACAAGGGGCGCAAGCCUGAUGCAGCCAUGCGGCGUGGAUGAAGAAGGCCUUCGGGUUGUAAAGUACUUUCAGCGGGGAGGCGUUACCCGCAGAAGAAGCACCGGCUAACUCCGUGCCAGCAGCCGCGGUAAUUC
rnacentral:rRNA from 1 species